GACGAACGCUGGCGGCGUGCCUAAUACAUGCAAGUAGAACGCUGAAGAGAGAAGCUUGCUCUUCUGGGGUGAGUUGCGCACGGGUGAGUAACGCGUAGGUAACCUGCCUUGUAGCGGGGGAUAACUUUGGGAAACGAUAGCUAAUACCGCAUAACAAUGUGUGACACAUGUUUUUUAUUUGAAAGGCGCUCUUGCUCCACCACAAGGUGGACCUGCGUUGUAUUUGCUAGUAGGUGAGGUAAUGGCUCACCUAGGCGACGAUACAUAGCCGACCUGAGAGGGUGGUCGGCCACACUGGGACUGAGACACGGCCCAGACUCCUACGGGAGGCAGCAGUAGGGAAUCUUCGGCAAUGGGGGGAACCCUGACCGAGCAACGCCGCGUGAGUGAAGAAGGUUUUCGGAUCGUAAAGCUCUGUUGUAAGUGAAGAACGAGUGUGAGAGUGGAAAGUUCACACUGUGACGGUAGCUUACCAGAAAGGGACGGCUAACUACGUG
rnacentral:rRNA from 1 species